CGCACGCACGUACAUACGCACACGCACGCACACACGCACACACGCACGCAAUCACAUUUGCGCAAGUACCUGCCCACACACUCGCAUGCACCACACAGGGAGUGCAGAUACCAAUCUGAACCUCUUCAAAUGUCACCCACACCCACGCAGCGCACGGCACACAAAGCACGACACGCCUUAUCAGAUGGGAAGUGACAUUCACGCGUCCACUGCCACGCAUCCCCCAUAUCGGCAGCUGCACGCUCAACCUUUCGGGCAGCGAAGGGUGAGCGGGAGUCGUUUGUGCCUUUUUAAAAAAAAUGACCAAGAGUCACGUCGCCGAUAAAAACAAAAAAAGUUUCGCGGCCGCAACUCAAAGCGUUUGACCCCGAAAAGGUCGGACUCUAAAGCGGAAGGGUCGGGCGCGAUGCGCGCGAUACGGCAGAGCUGAGACCGCGCACCGUGGGCUUGCGAGCGGCGUCUGCGGUGUCACCCGCACCAAAGACUCCACGUCCCGCCUGCUCCGCGGUGGACGUCAAAGAUCCAGUGACGUCAUUGGAAAACACGAUGAGGUCAUGUUUUCUGGCAUUGCGGCACCGAUUUACCGAAUGCCAUAACAAUUACUCGCGAAUUAGUCAAUGGGAAAGUGGCGUGGCGACGGCGUCCCGCUGGCGGGAGACUGCCACUUGCAGGUGGCCGGGAAGGCGGAACGCGGCGUGUCCGUCGUUUUGAUCACCUCCCGCGAAACAAAACCCGGCUCAGAGAGAGCCGUCCCUCGUCCGCGGUGGGACGAGAUCGCACGUGGUUAUGAGUCGGCGUUGACACCGGAUGGUUUGGUGGGCCCAGGGCUCAGAGGGCCCCUUGCCAACAGCGACUUCCCCACGAGAGAGCGUGAAUCGACGAGCCCAGUGGAGCAUCUUCGGCCUGUGUGUGGCGAACCGGAACCCAGCCCUCUACUGUGAACAUCGCCGCCGCAUUCGCGACUGCAUAGCGUACAUAACAAAGUCACGCGCUCAAGUUGCCAGAAUUACGACCCAAACUCAGUCCCGGAAAGAAGACUAAACAAGCAUCAAUGGAGCAUUUCUGCUCGUGUUGGGAUCCAUCGUCCCUCGCCAGGCCUCCUUCUGGACAGGCGCGGCGUGCGUCACGGCGCGCGACGGUCCGCGAGCGGCACCGGGCGAGGCCCACACACGGUCGGGGACAAGUUCCGCGUCUACUUUCGACGGUCGAUGGCGGGACCGGGCCAGCCGGACGUCGGCUUGUUGAAGGCGAGCUGCGAGCUGCGCGCCCGGAUGAAACCCUCCGUGUUGGGGAGUCCAGUGCGGGUCGUCACCGUGACGGUUGUGAUCACACUUCCGAUGGGUACGGCGACGAGGUUAUAUUUGUCAAAUGCAAUUGUAACAAAUAAAAGAGGGGCGACACAUCAUGGGGUUAAGAAGAUCUCGCAAUACCUUAAUAUGGGAGAAGCACACCUCACUGGCAUGUAGCUGACAAAACCAGGGACUAUUGACGUUUAAUGUCCCGGGAAGAUUGAGAGAUUUCUAAGAUCAGCAGCUGCCUCCUCGACAAGAAGAGUCUCUUGGGAAAAUCAGGACAGGUGGCAACUCUAGCGGAGUACCUGUGGGCUAGUCUUGUACUGUUAUUGGCCCAACGGAAGUUAAUUGUGCGAUGGGGUCAGUACUGUCGUGCUAUAAACACGACAGUGCAAUCUGGACUCACGUGGCCUUCUAACACACGACCACAUCUCAAGUGAAUAUAGAUCUCGCGACUGACCGAGUGGACGUAUAAGUUGGACCAGGAGCAGGGCUAAAUUACAAUCCACCCCCGUCACCCCCUCUUCUGUACCCUCCUUUAUAAUUAGCAUUUCUCUGAUGGAAAGGAAAGGUAAUUAGGCAGUAUAUUUCACCGCAAAUUAUUCAUUUAUUCAUUAGAGUCAUGAACAGAGUGUUUGAUGUCGCCUUAAUUGAUUAGACUAUUUCAGGAAUCAGUUUUGAUGUCCAGAUGUACUAUUGUUGAGGCUUCAAAGGUUAAAUUUAAAAACCAUCCUGCGCACACGUUGCACAAUCGCAGAGCCACAACAUCCCCAUCUCAGUUUCAGGUAACCCAUCAGCCGGCCAAGGUCAAUAAAAUCAGUACUACUAUGUGGGACGUUAACGGCGGUCGUCCCGUGCAGACUGGCCCCCGUCACGGGAAUGUAGAAUGUCCAGCACUGCACGGGGCAGCCAAUGGAGUGACGUCUCUCACUGUAAUCCUUUGGGCAGAAAGUCGGCGACUACGGGAUGCCUGUCUCCCAAUCACUGACCGACAUUCUCAUCAUGACAACAUAAGCAGACAAUGCGCCCCCUUCAACAUGCUGAUGAGAAGCUGCACGUGGGAACCGUCGCGGGGUUCUCGUGUCCAGGUGAUGAGUCAGCGAUGGUGCCGUUUCUCUGUCUCAGUGACACUUUUGUUGUCCGGGUGCAGACGCGGCCGUGCGAAGGGGACACUGCUUUUAUACAGCAAAUGACACGUUUAAUUUCUGAUAAUUUUAAAAUUAAUUUUGCGUGCAUGACCAAUAGUUGGUAGUUAAGUGAGUUACAUUCGUUACGAACUAUUAGUCCCUCAGCCUCUCUGGCCUGUCUCUCGCUCUCUGCUAUCAGGAGUCAUUGCCCGAAAUGUCGUCCAUCAUAAAUAUGUUUACCUCUGCAAGGGCAUUAUUAUUGACGUGUGUGUUGACUUGUUAUCAGCGCACUGCUGCGGCACUGGUGGUUCAUGAGACGCCCAUCGUGGCCAUGAGCGCGCCCCAGAGCCAGCGCCUUCGUUGGCGAGCGCCACGCCGCUCCACACCGGACUUGGUAUGCGGUCGGCGUCGUUCUAGCACUGAGGUGGGUCCUGGCAGUCGUGUA